AAUACUACCUAGUGACCGAUAGCGUAUAGUACCGUGAGGGAAAGGUGAAAAGAACCCCGGGAGGGGAGUGAAAUAGAACCUGAAACCCUGCACUUACAAGCUGUGGAAGCACAUUUCUUGUGUGACCGCGUACUUUUUGUAGAACGGGCCAACGAGUUACGUUAAGUAGCAAGGUUAAGCACUUAAGGUGUGGAGCCGUAGCGAAAGCGAGUUUUAACUGAGCGUUCAGUUACUUGACGUAGACCCGAAACCGGGCGACCUACCCAUGAGCAGGAUGAAGCGAAAGUAAAAUUUCGUGGAGGUCCGAACCCACGAGCG
rnacentral:rRNA from 1 species